AUACGCAUAUUGAAUAAACGUGAAAGUAGAUGAUUAAUUA
rnacentral:guide_RNA from 1 species